CUUCACCAUGUGAUAAACACAUAAAUGUAUUGGCUUUCCCAAAUCAUAGGUGUUGCUAUGUGGACAUAACUGUAUGAGUUUGCAAUAACAGAAAAAAAGCUCUCCAAGGACACAAGAUUAGACAACAAGUUGAAAAUGGCCAGAACUCUUGAGCAAAAUGGAGUCACAUAGCAAAAGAAUUUGUAAAGGUAAAAGAAAAGGGGGAGGGGAGGGCUUGAUAUGAGGAAAGCUAGUGCCUGGAAAACAUAGGGUUAAAGUUCUUUUAGCUUAACUUAAGUUGAAGAUAAAGAACAAUGUUUGUGUUGUAAGUCUGUGGUGAGAUAACAGGAUUUAGUGGCCCCACUAAACAUGAGUGAAUUAUUUCACACCAUCCUUCUACUUAUCAGUUAGUUUGGAGACAGUGCCUCCCGAACAUCUGCUAGUUUUGGAUACUCCUUGUCUGUCACACUGUUCUACAUCUUUGCCAGCUAUCAGAAAAAUUACAGAUAUGGCUGGUUUCAGCUAGUUUUGUGAUUACUGGGGCAUCCAACUGUGCUAAAGGUGAAAAGUACACUGUGAGGAAGACUGCUUACUUCAUCUUGAAGACCCCUGCCCGUAUGAGGAAGACUGCUUACUUCACCCUCAAGACCCCUGCCCAUGAUCACCGGAGAUCAGUGUGCAGACUCCAAGAGGAGGAGACUUAUGAUAAUAAGUUCCUGGAGCUUGUUAUAAUAUUCCCCGCCUAUAUGCAGGAAUUAUGAAUAUAUAUAUGGCUAAUGCAAUAGUGAAAGUAUAUAAACCUGUAACAAAUGCUAAUCAGUGCACCUCUGGCUAUGGUCAUGCUCCCAGCGAUGUUGCUUUUGCUUUAUUGACUUGAUCCCUCAAUAAAACCCUGUUAUCU